rnacentral:rRNA from 1 species
GACAGAGGGGGCAAGCGUUGCUCGGAAUCACUGGGCGUAAAGGGCGCGUAGGCGGGUCCGCAAGUCGAUCGUGAAAUCCUUCGGCUCAACUGAAGGGGGGUCGGUCGAUACUGCGGGUCUUGAGGGAUGCAGAGGAGACUGGAAUUCCCGGUGUAGCGGUGAAAUGUGUAGAGAUCGGGAGGAACACCGGUGGCGAAGGCGGGUCUCUGGGCAUCUCCUGACGCUGAGGCGCGAAAGCGUGGGGAGCAAACGGG